rnacentral:lncRNA from 1 species
GACGAAAGCAGAAACAGACUUUGUAUGUUUGCUUCGACAUUGGAACGAUCCUCAAGUGAAAUGAUUGAGGAAGAAGAAGAAGAAGAGAAUGGGAAAAAAUUGAUCUCUCUUCACUGUUUUUAUUUCUCCUUUAGGGAUUUUUGUGGUCAAAUCUGAAUGUUUAGUUAUCGUUGGCCGUUUGAUCGCAAAAGUCACUUUCCAUAAAAC